CAAAAUAUUCCAAAUAUUUUAGUUAAUAUUAUUCAAGCAAUAAUUUAUCUAGAACUUUAAUCUAUUGAGUUGGAAAGUGGGGCUUAUAGCCAAAAAAUUAGAUAACGGAAGCGGUAGUAACCGUUGCUGAAGUCUUUGUCGAGUAAAAACCAUAUUGGACAUCAAAAACAAAAUUACAACUGUAAAAUCAGUUUUAUCAGCUCUUUUAUCCUGACUUUAUAGGCUCUCUGUCAGCAAAACUCAUAAAACUAGAUCCAAAAAGAAUAGAAGGAAUAUCAACUGAAAUAAUUGCAAUAAAUUAUUGAAAUUAAAUCAUAACUUCAAUUUUAGUAAAUCGGAAUAUUUGCUUUAUAAUGGAUAUCCCAACGUACGUUUCUCUUCUGGUUUCACAUUUCUCUGCCUUUCUGCAUACUUUAAUUCUUGAUUUGUUCAAGAACAUGAUAUUGAGAAGCAGAGCCUCGUGGAUAAUUUUCUUAACUUGUAUGGGGAUUUAUCUAACGUAUGAAUGCGUAAGUCCGAAUACUGAGGUAAUUGCUAUAGUAAAAUACAUUGAUGUGAUGCGUAAUGAUUUUCUAACUGAAAUGAUUUUACUUGGCGUUAUUGUUUUCAUGAUUGCAAUUUUCACAUUUCGAAAAAGCGUACAAUUUAAUGUCCGAUAUCGAACUAUACUCAAAAUGAGGUUGGAAAGUAUUGAAGUAGCAAAGUCCAUUAGAAUGUUGAAUGCAUGUUGGUUUAUGGCGAAUGCUGAUAACACAGAAUACCAUAAGCACACUGUAAAGCAAUUGAAGGCAAUCAUGGAAAAACCAGGAGGAUUCAUUUAUUUAAAAGAAAACAUACAAUUAAGUGAAUGUUAUGUGGAUCGCUUUUUGGAUAUUGCAAUAAAAAACAUAUAUACAAAGUAGAU